rnacentral:rRNA from 1 species
AACGCGAAGAACCUUACCUGGGUUUGACAUACACCGGAUCGCCGCAGAGAUGCGGCUUCCCUUGUGGUCGGUGUACAGGUGGUGCAUGGCUGUCGUCAGCUCGUGUCGUGAGAUGUUGGGUUAAGUCCCGCAACGAGCGCAACCCUUGUCUUAUGUUGCCAGCACGUAAUGGUGGGGACUCGUAAGAGACUGCCGGGGUCAACUCGGAGGAAGGUGGGGACGACGUCAAGUCAUCAUGCCCCUUAUGUCCAGGGCUACACACAUGCUACAAUGGUCGGUACAACGAGCAGCUACACAGCGAUGUGAUGCAAAUCUCUUAAAGCCGAUCCCAGUCCGGAUUGUAGGCUGCAACUCGCCUACAUGAAGUCGGAGUUGCUAGUAAUCGCGGGUCAGAAUGCCGCGGUGAAUGCGUUCCCGGGCCUUGUACACACCG